rnacentral:rRNA from 1 species
CCAGUUUGCACCGACGGAACUAUCCUUAUGUCAAAGAAAGAGGACGUGUUUAUUCCCGAUGAUCUACUUCUCAAGGAUUUGUUCGACAAGCUUCCUAACCGGUCAUUGUUCAUCUGGUAUCCUUCUUCAAGCCUGCCUUCCAUGUCUCGAGCAAAGCUGAACAACAUCCACGGUAGCAUUGGAGUCCAGGCAAUAUCCAAAGCUGUUGGGAAGAAUGAUUCACUCACAUUGGAAAAUGUCAGUCCAACAAAAGCUGCUCGAUGUAAGGUGAUCAAUGUUGGUAUGAUCAAACUUGUCCUUGCUUUUCUUGCCGAUCCUGCUCUCGACAUUUCUGCUGAAGAGCGGCACAAGAUUGUUUCCUGCCUGCUCGAUGUGAUGGUGCUAGAGACCAGCGAGCCAAUCACGGUGGGAUACAACGUGAAGCUAUCCUCUGGGGACGUUCUUGAUGUGAAGGGCACACGGAAACUCCGGUGGGGGAGGGAGAGCUCGAAACUCUACAUGCAGAAAAGCAAGCGUGCACCAGGCUACAAGGAAAAGUUGGAGUUUGCGACAAAGUUUGCAGAUGAGAUAUCCCAAGGGCUGCUCUUCGAGAAAGCAGAGCAUAUCCCUUUGCUUGCGGAGGUCGUUAAAAUAUGUAGCUUUAUGGACUUCUACGGUACCGCUGUCGAGCACAUUCUGAAAUCAAAAAAUCUGCAGCUGUUCCCUGAAGACGAAGAAUUCCUUAACACUGCAUCGCUAGGUCUGUGA